ensembl:lncRNA
UAUGGGGCUCUAUGGGGUCCUAUCGGGUCUUAUGGGGUCUUUAUGGGGUCCUUAUGGGGUUUUAUGGGGUCCAAUGGGGGUCUUUAUGGGGUCCUACGGGGCUCUAUGGGGUUCUAUGGGGUCCUAUGGGGUCUUAUGGGGUCUUUAUGGGGCUCUAUGGGGUCCGAUGGGGUCCUAUGGGGUCUUUAUGGGGUCCUAUGGGGGCUUAAAGGGGAUCUAUGGGGUCCUAUGGGGUCCUUAUGGGGCUCUGUGGGGCUCUAUGGGGUCUUUAUGGGGUUCGAUGGGGCCCUUAUGGGGCUCUAUGGGGUCCUAUGAGGUCUUAUGGGGUCCUAUGGGGUCCUCAUGAGGCUCUAUGGGGCUCUAUGGGGACCUUAUGUGGGAUUAAAAGGGUCUCAUGGAGUUCUAUGGGGUCUUAUGGGGUCCUAUGGGGUCCUUAUGGGGUCUUAUGGGGUCCUUAUGGGGCUCUAUGGGGUCCUAUGGGGUUCUAUGGGGGCUUCAAGUGGUCUUUAUGGGGUCUUUAUGGGGUCCUAUGGGGUCCUUAUGGGGCCCUAUGGGGUCUUUAUAGGGUCCUAUGGGGCUCUAUGGGGUCCUUAUGGGGGCUUAAAAGGGUCUUAUGGGGUUCUAUGGGGUCCUUAUGGGGUCCUUUGGGGGCUUAAAUGAGUCCUAUGGGACUCUAUGAGGUCUUUAUGGGGUCCUAUGGGGGUUUAAAGGGGUCCUAUAGGGUCCUUAUGGGGUCCUUAUGGGGAUCUAUGGGGGCUUUAUGGGGUCCUAUGGGGGCUUAAAGGGGUUCUAUGGGGUCCUAUGGGACUCUAUGGGGGCUUUAUGGGGUCCUAUGGGGUCCUAUGGGGUCUUAUGGGCUCCUAUGGGGUCCUUAUGGGGUUUUAUGGGGUCCAAUGGGGUCCUAUGGGGCUCUAUGAGGUCUUAUGGGGUUCUAUGGGGUCCUUAUGGGGUCCCUAUGGGGUCUUUAUGGGGUCCCCAUGGGGUUUUAUGGGGUCCUAUGGGGUCCUAUGGGGGCUUAAAGGGGUUCUAUGGGGUCCUAUGGGGCUCUAUGGGGUUCUAUGGGGCUCUAUGGGGU